rnacentral:rRNA from 1 species
AAAGAUUAAGCCAUGCAUGUCUAAGUACAAGCCUCAUUAAGGUGAAACCGCGAAUGGCUCAUUAAAUCACACCUAAUGUACAGGAUAGUAACAGUUACUUGGAUAACUGCGGUAAUUCUGGAGCUAAUACAUGCAUACAAGCCCCGACUCACGAAGGGGUGCUUUUAUUAGAUUAAAACCAAACUGCCUCGGCAGUCCCACUGGUGAUUCUGAAUAACUUUGAGCGAAUCGUAUGGCUUUAUGCCGACGAUGUAUCCUUCCAAGGUGUGACCUAUCAACUGUCGACUGU